UUCUCUUUGGAGAAGUGUCUUUAUUUUUUUCUGUUCUCCUUCCCUGACUGUUGUGGUCUGAUCCUCCCUUGUCACACAUGUGACUUGAGGGUGUUUUCUCCCUGCCUGUCCUUUCACGCACCGAGCGGGGGCCUCACACUUUCCUCACGUCCCAGCAUCUCCCCUUGUUCUCUGAGGCACAGAUUUUUCUGGGUGUCCGUGCCGCUGCUGAAGACGCUGGACCAUGUGCUCACCCACGGCUGCUUCGACAUCUUCACCACGGAGGAGGACCACCCCUUUGCUGUGAAGUUGCUUGCGCUUUGUAAGAAAGAAAUCAAGAAUUCAAAAGAUAUCCAGAAGCUCCUGUCAGGCAUCGCAGUGUUCUGCGGGAUGGUGCAGUUCCCCGGCGACGUGAGGAGGCAGGCCCUCCUGCAGCUGUGUCUGCUCCUCUGCCACCGUUUCCCGCUGAUCCGGAAGACCACGGCCAGCCAGGUGUACGAGACAUUGCUCACCUACAGUGACGUCGUGGGCGCGGACGUGCUGGAUGAGGUGGUGACUGUGCUCAGUGACACCGCGUGGGACGCGGAGCUUGCAGUGGUGAGAGAGCAGCGCAACCGUCUGUGUGACCUUCUGGGCGUGCCCAGGCCCCAGCUGGUGCCCCAGCCUGGUGCCUGCUGAAGCCAGUCCUGGAGCCCAUACCUCACCCCUGCCUGGUGACGAUGUCUUGUUCCUGAGGGAGGCCGGUGUGGAAAGCCUCGCACAGUGGUGCCUCCAGCUGUUGAAGGG
rnacentral:sRNA from 1 species